GCGCAGUGUACAUGCCUUAUUAAGGCGAAACCGCGAAUUGCUGAUUAAAUCAGUUAUGGUUCCGUGGAUCGUCCCUCACUACUUCGAUAACUGUGGCAUUUCUAGAGCUAAUACAUGCAGCAUAGCUCCGAUCCUCUGCAUACGAGCGUCUAAAACCAAUCGGACCUCACGUCCUUAUUAUGUGGUGACUCUGUAUAACUUUGGGCUGAUCGCACGGGCUUGUCCCGGCGACGUUUCUUUCCAGUGUCUGCCUUAUCAACUGUCGAUGGUAGGUUGCGCGCCUACUAUGGUCGUAACGGGUGAUAGGGAAUCAGGGUUCGAUUAUGGAGAGGGAACCUGAGAAAGAAUUCAUGCUUAAAAUUU
rnacentral:ncRNA from 1 species